GUAAUAGUUACUGGAGGACGGGUGAAUGAAGAGGACAGUGUUUCUUGAGGAGGGAUUUGAGGACAACAGAAGGAGAGUGAAUUACCCUGUUUGCAUUGGAGAGGAGCUGAGUAACUGAGAACUGAGUCUUGUAAUUGCACACGUUUGACACUGAAUUGGAUGUGGUUUGGAGUGUUUGGAUCACGAUCAUAAAUAUCACUGAGUGGAUUGUAUUGAUUCAUUACCGAUCUCUUACCUCUCCCUCCUCUAUAAAUGGUGAUGUGAACUCUGCCUGUGACUGUGAAGAAAAACAUCUCAGAACAUCCUCAGUGGCAGUGAGGAUUGCGCCCUCCCCCUUCCCCUCGGACAGAAACCCGAAUGAGAAGAGAUGCCCUGUUGAAAUAUUUACUAUCUGCCUCAGAAAAGCUCUGUGCAACCUGUUGACUUCGAGUCUGCUGUAUCCCUGCCAUUCAACUGUAUGGUGAGAAGUGUUUGUUCCUUCCAAUGCAUGUGAACUGUAUACUUGCCUGAAACAUCCAUUCUGUCUGUCUCAGAAGAAGCCCCAUUCAGCCUGUUGACUUCGAGUCUGCUGUAUCCCUGCCAUUCAACUGUAUGGUGAGAAGUGUUCGUUCCUUCCAACGCAUGUGAACUGUAUACUUUGUCUGAAGCAUCCAUUCUGUCUGUUUCAGUAGAAACCCUGCACAGCCUGUUGACUUAGAGUUUGUUGCAUCCUUGUGGCCCACCUGUGCUGAGAGAGGUGACUGUCCUUUGUCACGAACGUGAGAUGGGCACGCUUUGUCUGGAAAUUCCACUCUGACGGUGUCAAGAGAAGCCACCUUACUGUAAGACCGUGCACCUGCCGUAUACGUACACGACUGAUAUCAUUCACCUCAAAUUCUGUACCUGUGGAAGAAGGAAGGAAGGCUGGAAUUACAUACUUACUGGAGGAGACUUACCGGACCCCUCACUUGCCAAACACAUCCCCACCUCAAGGCUGUGUAUCUGCCGUGUACGGACCUGACCGAUAUCCAUCUGUCCCAAAUUCUGCAUCUGUGAAAAAGGGAAGGAAGUUUGGAAGUAUUUAAUUACCAGAGGAGACUUACCAGACUGCUGGCUUGCCGAUCGUAUUCCCACCUGUGAAAUACCUACUUGACCACCCAUCUAUCCAUCUAUUGCGGGGCCCGCACAGAGGAAGAGGGCGGGAGAGUCCCCGGUCGCUGCAUUGUUUACCUUCAAGCCCUGAGGGUAACAAAGAAGAUUUUAGGUUAGGAUUCCCAAUUUGCUUUUACUUCAAAAUAAAACUUGUUAAAUUUA